UACGUAGGGGGCAAGCGUUGUCCGGAUUUAUUGGGCGUAAAGGGUGCGUAGGCGGCGCGGUAAGUCGGGUGUGAAAUCUCGGGGCUUAACUCCGAAACUGCAUUCGAUACUGCCGUGCUUGAGGACUGGAGAGGAGACUGGAAUUUACGGUGUAGCGGUGAAAUGCGUAGAUAUCGUAAGGAAGACCAGUGGCGAAGGCGGGUCUCUGGACAGUUCCUGACGCUGAGGCACGAAGGUCAGGGGAGCAAACGGG
rnacentral:rRNA from 1 species